rnacentral:misc_RNA from 1 species
UUGAUUCAAUUUGUGUUUCCACUCUGACGUCUGGUUGGAGCGAGAGUUUGAAGGUCCCCCGGCGGGCGCUCUCCGGGCGCUGGGCCCGGCGUCCCCUCGGAGUCGAGGGGACGGCCCGCCGAAGCAACGGUGUUUUCUGAACUACAAGAGGGUGGGAUGUUGGGCCCCCGGGGGGACCCAGACACUGUAAUGAUCCUUCCGCAGGUUCACCUACGGAAA